GUGCUUGCUUCAGCAGUACAUUUACUAAAACUGGAACCAUACAGAGAAGAUUAGCAUGGCCCCUGUGCAAGGAUGACAUGCAAAUUCGUGAAGCGCUCCAUAUUAAA
ensembl:snRNA U6 U6 spliceosomal RNA